GCAAGGCUUACCUGCAGUCGAGCGGAGUUGUGGUGCUUGCACCAUAACUUAGCGGCGGACGGGUGAGUAAUGCUUAGGAAUCUGCCUAUUAGUGGGGGACAACGUUUCGAAAGGAACGCUAAUACCGCAUACGCCCUACGGGGGAAAGCAGGGGAUCUUCGGACCUUGCGCUAAUAGAUGAGCCUAAGUCAGAUUAGCUAGUUGGUGGGGUAAAGGCCUACCAAGGCGACGAUCUGUAGCGGGUCUGAGAGGAUGAUCCGCCACACUGGGACUGAGACACGGCCCAGACUCCUACGGGAGGCAGCAGUGGGGAAUAUUGGACAAUGGGGGGAACCCUGAUCCAGCCAUGCCGCGUGUGUGAAGAAGGCCUUUUGGUUGUAAAGCACUUUAAGCGAGGAGGAGGCUACUAGUACUAAUACUACUGGAUAGUGGACGUUACUCGCAGAAUAAGCACCGGCUAACUCUGUGCCAGCAGCCGCGGUAAUACAGAGGGUGCGAGCGUUAAUCGGAUUUACUGGGCGUAAAGCGUACGUAGGCGGCUUUUUAAGUCGGAUGUGAAAUCCCUGAGCUUAACUUAGGAAUUGCAUUCGAUACUGGGAAGCUAGAGUAUGGGAGAGGAUGGUAGAAUUCCAGGUGUAGCGGUGAAAUGCGUAGAGAUCUGGAGGAAUACCGAUGGCGAAGGCAGCCAUCUGGCCUAAUACUGACGCUGAGGUACGAAAGCAUGGGGAGCAAACAGGAUUAGAUACCCUGGUAGUCCAUGCCGUAAACGAUGUCUACUAGCCGUUGGGGCCUUUGAGGCUUUAGUGGCGCAGCUAACGCGAUAAGUAGACCGCCUGGGGAGUACGGUCGCAAGACUAAAACUCAAAUGAAUUGACGGGGGCCCGCACAAGCGGUGGGAGCAUGUGGUUUAAUUGGAUGCAACGCGAAGAACCUUACCUGGUCUUGACAUAGUAAGAACUUUCCAGAGAUGGAUUGGUGCCUUUGGGAACUUACCUACAGGUGUCUUGAUAGGGGUUUUUUCACUCGUGUCGUGAGAUGUUGGGUUAAGUCCCGCAACGAGCGCAACCCUUUUCCUUAUUUGCCAGCGGGUUAAGCCGGGAACUUUAAGGAUACUGCCAGUGACAAACUGGAGGAAGGCGGGGACGACGUCAAGUCAUCAUGGCCCUUACGACCAGGGCUACACACGUGCUACAAUGGUCGGUACAAAGGGUUGCUACCUAGCGAUAGGAUGCUAAUCUCAAAAAGCCGAUCGUAGUCCGGAUUGGAGUCUGCAACUCGACUCCAUGAAGUCGGAAUCGCUAGUAAUCGCGGAUCAGAAUGCCGCGGUGAAUACGUUCCCGGGCCUUGUACACACCGCCCGUCACACCAUGGGAAUUUGUUGCACCAGAAGUAGGUAGUCUAACCGCAAGGAGGACGCUACCACGGGGGA
rnacentral:rRNA from 1 species